CCUACGGGGGGCAGCAGUAGGGAAUCUUCCACAAUGGGCGAAAGCCUGAUGGAGCAACGCCGCGUGGGUGAAGAAGGUCUUCGGAUCGUAAAACCCUGUUGUUAGAGAAGAAAGUGCGUGAGAGUAACUGUUCACGUUUCGACGGUAUCUAACCAGAAAGCCACGGCUAACUACGUGCCAGCAGCCGCGGUAAUACGUAGGUGGCAAGCGUUAUCCGGUUUUAUUGGGCGUAAAGGGAACGCAGGCGGUCUUUUAAGUCUGAUGUGAAAGCCUUCGGCUUAACCGGAGUAGUGCAUUGGAAACUGGGAGACUGGAGUGCAGAAGAGGAGAGUGGAACUCCAUGUGUAGCGGUGAAAUGCGUAGAUAUAUGGAAGAACACCAGUGGCGAAAGCGGCUCUCUGGUCUGUAACUGACGCUGAGGUUCGAAAGCGUGGGUAGCAAACAGGAUUAGAUACCCUGGUAGUC
rnacentral:rRNA from 1 species